AACGAACGCUGGCGGCAUGCCUAACACAUGCAAGUCGAACGAGACCUUCGGGUCUAGUGGCGCACGGGUGCGUAACGCAUGGGAACCUGCCCUUAGGUUCGGAAUAACUCCCCGAAAGGGGUUCUAAUACCGGAUAAUGUCUUCGGACCAAAGAUUUAUCGCCUUUGGAUGGGCCCGCGUUGGAUUAGCUAGUUGGUAGGGUAAAAGCCUACCAAGGCGACGAUCCAUAGCUGGUCUGAGAGGAUGAUCAGCCACACUGGGACUGAGACACGGCCCAGACUCCUACGGGAGGCAGCAGUGGGGAAUAUUGGACAAUGGGCGAAAGCCUGAUCCAGCAAUGCCGCGUGAGUGAUGAAGGCCUUAGGGUUGUAAAGCUCUUUUACCCGGGAUGAUAAUGACAGUACCGGGAGAAUAAGCGCCGGCUAACUCCGUG
rnacentral:rRNA from 1 species